AUAGAACAGAUCUUGGAGCAGGA
rnacentral:siRNA from 1 species